CGCGUAGGUGGUUCGAUUAGUCGGAGGUGAAAUCCCUCGGCUCAACCGAGGAUCCGCGUCCGAUACUGUCGAACUUGAGUGCAGGAGAGGAGAGCGGAAUUCCCAGUGUAGCGGUGAAAUGCGUAGAUAUUGGGAGGAACACCGGUGGCGAAGGCGGCUCUCUGGACUGCCACUGACACUGAGGCGCGAAAGCUAGGGGAGCAAACGGGAUUAGAUACCCCGGUAGUCCUAGCCGUAAACGAUGGGCACUAGGUGUGGGAGGUAUCGACCCCUUCCGUGCCGCAGCUAACGCAUUAAGUGCCCCGCCUGGGGAGUACGGCCGCAAGGUUGAA
rnacentral:rRNA from 1 species